rnacentral:misc_RNA from 1 species
GAUGAAGAACGUAGCGAAAUGCGAUAAGUAAUGUGAAUUGCAGAAUCCAGUGAAUCAUCGAAUCUUUGAACGCACAUUGCGCCCGCCAGCAUUCUGGCGGGCAUGCCUGUUCGAGCGUCAUUUCAACCCUCGACCUCCCCUUGGGGAGGUCGGCGUUGGGGACCGGCAGCACACCGCCGGCCCUGAAAUGGAGUGGCGGCCCGUCUGCGGCGACCUCUGUGUAGUAAUACAGCUCGCACCGGAACCCCGACGCGGCCACGCCGUAAAACACCCAACUUCUGAACGUUGACCUCGAAUCAGGUAGGACUACCCGCUGAACUUAAGCAUAUCAAUAAGCGGAGGA